rnacentral:rRNA from 1 species
GGCCAGACUCCUACGGGAGGCAGCAGUGGGGAAUAUUGCACAAUGGGGGGAACCCUGAUGCAGCGACGCCGCGUGGGUGAAGGAGCACCUCGGUGCGUAAAGCCCUCUCGGCAGGGAAGAAACAGACGGUACCUGACUAAGAAGCCCCGGCUAACUACGUGCCAGCAGCCGCGGUAAUACGUAGGGGGCAAGCGUUAUCCGGAUUUACUGGGUGUAAAGGGAGCGUAGACGGCAGUGCAAGUCUGAAGUGAAAGGCAAGGGCUCAACCCUUGGACUGCUUUGGAAACUGUGCUGCUGGAGUGUCGGAGAGGCAAGUGGAAUUCCUAGUGUAGCGGUGAAAUGCGUAGAUAUUAGGAGGAACACCAGUGGCGAAGGCGGCUUGCUGGACGAUGACUGACGUUGAGGCUCGAAAGCGUGGGGAGCAAACAGGAUUAGAUACCCUGGUA